CCCACUUUGGUGCUCAUCAAAUUACUCUCCAGCCUGUUCGCCUGGACCUCUGGACCGCAGCCACCAGUGCGGACUUUACUGCAGCAGCUCCAUGGAAAAAGAUUCAGACCUGCCCUCCCCACAGCAGAACAACUUACACGUUUCAAGUUACAAGGGUCCUCCUUCAGGAAGGCAUCACUAUGAAAGAAUCAACCAGGAAAGGCCUGCCAUCCUAAAUCAACCCAACUUUUCAUCCUUCAAUUGAAAAGGGAUCCCUGGCAAGAAGAACACUGCACAAGCUGGGUACUUAAGGCAUAUGGCAUGGAGCCUGACU